rnacentral:rRNA from 1 species
UACGGGGGGAGCAAGCGUUGUUCGGAUUUACUGGGCGUAAAGGGCGCGUAGGCGGUCGUGACAAGUCACUUGUGAAAUCUCCGGGCUUAACCCGGAACGGUCAAGUGAUACUGUCGGACUAGAGUACAGAAGGGGCAACUGGAAUUCCCGGUGUAGCAGUGAAAUGCGUAGAGAUCGGGAGGAACACCAGUGGCGAAGGCGACUACCUGGACCAGCACUGACACUGAGGCACGAAAGCGUGGGGAGCAAACAGG